rnacentral:rRNA from 1 species
GACGAACGCUGGCGGCGUGCUUAACACAUGCAAGUCGAACGUGAUUUUUGUGGAAAUUCUUUCGGGAAUGGAAAUGAAAUGAAAGUGGCGAACGGGUGAGUAACACGUGAGCAACCUACCUUACACAGGGGGAUAGCCGUUGGAAACGACGAUUAAUACCGCAUGAGACCACAGAAUCGCAUGAUAUAGGGGUCAAAGAUUUAUCGGUGUAAGAAGGGCUCGCGUCUGAUUAGCUAGUUGGAAGGGUAAAGGCCUACCAAGGCGACGAUCAGUAGCCGGUCUGAGAGGAUGAACGGCCACAUUGGAACUGAGACACGGUCCAAACUCCUACGGGAGGCAGCAGUGGGGAAUAUUGCACAAUGGGGGGAACCCUGAUGCAGCGACGCCCCGUGAGCGAAGAAGGUUUUCGAAUCGUAAAGCUCUGUCCUAUGAGAAGAUAAUGACGGUAGCAUAGGAGGAAGCCCCGGCUAAAUACGUG